UGAUGGAUCCUGUUUCCUCUAUAAACCUAAAGAGUCCAAUGACUUACUGGAGUUCACUGGAUCAGACUGCGACCCCAUUUAUUCACUCUGUUGCCAUGGUAAAACUCUCUUCACUGCUUGUCGAGAUGGAGUCAUCAGAAAGUAUCAAAUUUAGGAUGAUGUAACUGUGUUGAGAUAAAAGCUGACAAGAAAACACCAGUGACUGACUGAGAAAGGUAAAAGGUCAUGACCACACGAGGGUGUUUGUAAAGAGAUCCAAAUACAGUACAUUGGGGCACCACUCUGGCACUUGGCAGAUGGCUGGCCUGUACAAUGGGCACGGUGACAGUUGAACAGUUUUGGACAAACAAAGGUUUACUCACUGCAAUUAUUAUAGCCAAAGGUGUGAAAUCCUAAUUAAAGUGAUACGGCAGGUGGUCUUAAUAUUCUGGUCGUUGCUGUUGUUUUUAGUCAUCAAACUAUAAACUUUGACUGUUUCUACCGAUAUAACAUUAUCAUCGUGUUCCCUAGUGUGGUUUUUCCCGCCUUCAAUUUCUGUAUGGAAGCCUUAUAGAAUACCUAUUUUUGUCAAGGAUUUACAGCUCUGUUUGUGCACGCAAUUAAGUUCAUCGGCAGGUUGCUUUUCUCAUGUAUUCUCAGCAGAUGUUUCGUUUUCAGUUCAGAUGAAAUCAAAAGCAAUUUGAUCUUCACCGACUGCACUCUAAGCAAAACUAGACCAGAUAAUAAUCUCAACCAAUUGUCAAAACUAGAUCAACACGUUCCAUUUUAGAGGGGAAAAUUUAGAGGGGAAAUUCACUUGAAAGAUCUCCAUAUGGGACACUGAUACUGCACUUAGCCUCUGCACCUUCCCCUAUCCUACAUAAUCCCUGCCAAAGAAAAUACAUCCCAAUAUCAGAACAGCUCUUUUAUGGCAGGGUAAUACAACACGCUCAAAAAAA